AGUGAACGCUGGCGGUAGGCCUAACACAUGCAAGUCGAACGGCAGCACAGUAAGAGCUUGCUCUUACGGGUGGCGAGUGGCGGACGGGCGAGGAAUACAUCGGAAUCUACUUUUUCGUGGGGGAUAACGUAGGGAAACUUACGCUAAUACCGCAUACGACCUACGGGGGAAAGCAGGGGAUCUUCGGACCUUGCGCGAUUGCAUGAGCCGAUGUCGGAUUAGCUAGUUGGCGGGGUAAAGGCCCACCAAGGCGACGAUCCGUAGCUGGUCUGAGAGGAUGAUCAGCCACACUGGAACUGAGACACGGUCCAGACUCCUACGGGAGGCAGCAGUGGGGAAUAUUGGACAAUGGGCGCAAGCCUGAUCCAGCCAUACCGCGUGGGUGAAGAAGGCCUUCGGGUUGUAAAGCCCUUUUGUUGGGAAAGAAAAGCAGCAGGUUAAUACCCCGCUGUUCUGACGGUACCCAAAGAAUAAGCACCGGCUAACUUCGUG
rnacentral:rRNA from 1 species